GAACCUUCACAGACAAUCAGGAGGCUACUUGAUCAAUAACAGAUCUGCUCUUUCAGAGGCGGAUUUACGCAGUGACUCAGAUCUCCAGUCACUGACUUUACAAGACCUGGGUUUGCUGUUCCCUGGAGUUAAAAAUGUCAAACUGAGAAGGGAUAUCUUUGAUAUAAUACACAAGCAGAAACCAAUUGGUGAGCUCAUAGAAAAAUCCAAGCACUUCAUCCCACAUGACUUCUCAGGGGUAAGUACAGCCUGCUAACAUUGUUGGCUCUUGCAUUUGAUUGAUUUGGAUAGCGGAAGAAAAUAGAUGGAUGGAUGGAUUUAGGAUGUUUUGGGGAAGUUUUAAAAUAUCAGAUGCAGAUUCUUAUACAUAACCUUAAACUUUCCAUCCAGCCGCCUUAACCGAAAAUGGAGUUUUGGUCGACUACCUGAAAAUGUUGAAGGAAAUGAAGACCCAAAUGAAUAAAGCAAUUUCCUUGAUCACAUAUCAAUCUACUGGAGGACCUCAGGAAAUCUCAACCAUCGCAGAACCAGGACAAAGGUUCUUUGUCAAGUGGUCCAGUGAAGCGCCACAAUAGCCAAACCAGUGACCCUCCACAAAUGCAACAAGGUAAAU